CCAACGUGGAUACCCCGGGAGGUCACUGUCCCCGGGCUCUGUCCAGGCGGCGUAGGGGAGCACAGGGCUCCGCCCUGUGAUGGACAGUCCCUUCCCACAACGUCGGACGGAAAGCCGGGCCUUGCGUCUGCGCCUGCGUGUUCCUAGAGCUUCUCAGAGUCCUCUGGACCAUGACUGAGGAGAGAACCGUGCAGGAAACAUCU